rnacentral:rRNA from 1 species
CGAAAGCUAGUUGUAUUAAUUAUUAGUUAAUGCAAGAUCGACUAUGUCGACUAAAGUUCUAGGUAGAAUAAUGAUGAUGACAAUUUUCUACCUAUAUGUCUUGACCAAAUCUCGUGCCAGCAGUCGCGGUAAUACGUGAAAGACUAGUGUUAUUCAUCUUUAAUAGGUUUAAAGGGUACCUAGACGGUAUUUUUAGCCCAAAACAGGGUACGGACUUACUAGAGUUUUAUGUGAGAAGGGGAGUACUUGUAGAGUAGAGAUGAAAUUUUGUGAUACUAUGAGGAAACUGGUGGCGGCGAAAGCAACCUUCUAUGUAUAAACUGACGUUGAGGGACGAAGGCUUGGGUAGCAAAUAGGAUUAGAUACCCUAGUAGUCCAAGCAGACAAUUCUGAAUGCCAUAGAUUAGAUUAUUUUUGGUCUAUAAAUGAAAGUGUAAGCAUUCCACCUUAGGAGUAAUGUGGCAACACAGGAACUGAAAUCAUUAGACCGUUUCUGAAACCAGUAGUGAAGUAUGUUAUUUAAUUUGAUAGUCCUCAAAAAACCUUACCACAACUUGAAUGUUAUUAAAUUAAUACAAGCGUUGCACGGCUGUCUUCAGUUAAUAUCGUGAGAUUUUGGUUAACUCCAUUAAUUAACGUAAACCCUUACUUUA